GUCCACACUGGAACUGAGACACGGUCCAGACUCCUACGGGAGGCAGCAGUAGGGAAUCUUCCGCAAUGGGCGAAAGCCUGACGGAGCAACGCCGCGUGAGUGAUGAAGGUCUUCGGAUCGUAAAACUCUGUUAUUAGGGAAGAACAAAUGUGUAAGUAACUAUGCACGUCUUGACGGUACCUAAUCAGAAAGCCACGGCUAACUACGUGCCAGCAGCCGCGGUAAUACGUAGGUGGCAAGCGUUAUCCGGAAUUAUUGGGCGUAAA
rnacentral:rRNA from 1 species